rnacentral:rRNA from 1 species
AGAGUUUGAUCCUGGCUCAGGAUGAACGCUAGCGGCAGGCCUAACACAUGCAAGCCGAGGGGCAUCGGGGUAGCAAUACUGCCGGCGACCGGCGCACGGGUGAGUAACGCGUAUGCAACCUACCCUAUACAUUGGGAUAGCCCGGAGAAAUUCGGAUUAAUACCAUAUAUAAUUAAGAUUUGGCAUCAAGUUUUAAUGAAAGUUUUGGCGGUAUAGGAUGGGCAUGCGUGCCAUUAGCUAGUUGGUAGGGUAACGGCCUACCAAGGCGACGAUGGCUAGGGGUUCUAAAAGGAUGAUCCCCCACACUGGUACUGAGACACGGACCAGACUCCUACGGGAGGCAGCAGUGAGGAAUAUUGGGCAAUGGGUGCAAGCCUGACCCAGCCAUGCCGCGUGCAGGCUAAGGCCUUACAGGUUUUAAACUGCUUUUGGACAGGAAGAACACACGGUACGUGUACUGUGAUGACGGUACUGUCAGAAUAAGCAUCGGCUAACUCCGUGCCAGCAGCCGCGGUAAUACGGAGGAUGCAAGCGUUAUCCGGAUUUAUUAGGUUUAAAGGGUGCGCAGGCGGGGCAUUAAGUCAGUGGUGAAAUCUAACAGCUCAACUGUUAGGCUGCCAUUGAAACUAAAGUUCUUGAAUACGGUUGAGGUAGGCGGAAUAUGUAAUGUAGCGGUGAAAUGCAUAGAUAUUACAUAGAACACCAAUUGCGAAGGCAGCUUACUAAGCCGUUAUUGACGCUCAGGCACGAAAGCGUGGGGAUCAAACAGGAUUAGAUACCCUGGUAGUCCACGCUGUAAACGAUGAUCACUGGUUGUUGGCGAUAUACCGUUCAGCGACUGAGCGAAAGCAUUAAGUGAUCCACCUGGGGAGUACGUCGGCAACGAUGAAACUCAAAGGAAUUGACGGGGGCCCGCACAAGCGGAGGAACAUGUGGUUUAAUUCGAUGAGCGAGGGCAUUUUACGAGGUGCUGCAUGGCUGUCGUCAGCUCGUGCCGUGAGGUGUCGGCUUAAGUGCCAUAACGAGCGCAACCCCUAUACUUAGUUACCAGCGUGUAAAGACGGGGACUCUAAGUAGACUGCCAGCGUAAGCUGUGAGGAAGGCGGGGAUGACGUCAAGUCAGCACGGCCCUUACGUCCAGGGCUACACACGUGUUACAAUGGUCGGUACAGAGGGCAGCUACCUGGUGACAGGAUGCGAAUCUCUAAAGCCGAUCUUAGUUCGGAUUGAAGUCUGCAACUCGACUUCAUGAAGCUGGAUUCGCUAGUAAUCGCGCAUCAGCAAUGGCGCGGUGAAUACGUUCCCGGGCCUUGUACACACCGCCCGUCAAGCCAUGGGAGCCGGGGGUACCUAAAGUCCGUGACCGCAAGGGACGGCCUAGGGUAAAACUGGUGACUGGGGCUAAGUCGUAACAAGGUAGCCGUACCGGAAGGUGUGGCUG